UUAUUUAUAUAGUUUUGUAAUUGUUAUUCAUAUUUUUCAAAAAAUUAUUUAGAAAUUAUUGCUUAUGUCAUCGCUCGUUUAUUCUUUGAUUUUCGCAAAAAUAUAUACAGUUAACAUUUUAUAAUAGUUGUAUUUUUAAAGCCGGCAAUCCCCCUUUAUCUUGAUGAUGGACUUCUUAUCCCAAAAACAACUUAACUCUUAUGAGGGCAUCAUCGAUAAAAUUCAACAAGAACAUGAAAAAUCCCAAAAGCUUCAGCAAGAAAUCAACAGAAUAAAUAAUAUCCUUGCCCUAACUAACCUCUCAAACCUUAAACUGACCCAAAAACUUGGCCACAUUAAUGUGAAAAUAUUCAGUAAUCUUCUCGACUUAUAUAUUUUAUAUCAGAAUGAGUUGAAAGCAGAUAUAUCAAGCUUUUUAAAGCAUGAAAAUUGUAAGUUUUAUUUGGUUGAGCUGCUUAUAACAAAUGCCUUGCAUCAAAAGUUGAAAGACAUUGAAUGGUCCCUCUUUUUAUCUGUUAGAUAUGAUGGUACUUGUACCAGUAAAACCAUUAAGAUGGUGGAAUAUGAACCGCCUUACUUGGAAGUUUUACCAGUUAAUAAUAACAUUAUAGACUGUCAAGUAUCAGCUGCUAUUAUUUUGCUAUCUAGAGAAGGUCUAACCCAUGUUCCGUUGGAUUCUGUGACCACCGAUAUAUCAUAUCAUUUUGAAAAUGUCAAAAAAUCCAAACAAUUGACUACAGACAGAAAAAUAUUGGAAAUAACUAAGGCUCACAAUCCUGACCUAAACAUAAAUGAAUUAAAAAAGCCUUUAUUGGUAGAGUACAGUUUCCAUUCAAAAAAAGACAACCAUGACUUUAUAAAGCAUUUCAUUCAACAUUGCUACCAUAAGUUGGAUUUAGAGCUGUUUUCUGAACUAGGAAGUGAUUCUACUAACAGUUUUGUGGUAAAGUUUGCCACCGGGUCUGCAAAAAGCUCUGUAACAUUUAACAAAGAGACUCAAGUGGUCACUUUAAGGAGCAAUUUGAGUGACAUGGUUCGUUUAAAGAAUUUCUUUUGGAACGAGGAAACUUUUGAAAUAAGGGAUUUCGAACGAGUGAAGGCUUACUUAAAGGAGUUAUUAGCAAAGUUGGGUCAGUGCAGUACAAGAGACGAGUUGUGCAACUUCUAUAUUGCUGUAAGGAAUAUUUGGACCAAAUAGAUGAUCAACCUUUUGGCUGCACAGUUGGUUGCUGGGGAAUCAGAGCAGUUUAUUAUUUGGUACCCCCCAUAGAAAAUAGGCGCAGGGAUUUAGGUCUGGUGACCUGGCCGGCCACUCUAUUGGCCCUUUUCGUCCUAUCCAUCUUCCUGGGAACACUGUAUCCAAGUAAUUACGGACAUCUCGAAAGAAAUGUGGCGGUGCGCCUUCUUUCUGAACCCACAAAUUAUCUGUCGGUAGAGCAGGGUCUUGUUCGUCAGGGUAUAGGGCAGCCAAAGCAGGGAUAAGAUCUUCUUGAAGAAAAUUUAAAUAGCGUUAUCCUGUUAAGUUUUCUUCGAAAAAGUAUGGCCCUAUUACUUUAUUUUCCAUGAUACCAGCCCAAACAUUAAUAGAUUACGGUUGCCCAGUGUAGAUUUGACACUGACCAGUACCGACAAUUUUGCCGAUUUACGACACCGUUUAAACAGAAAGUUGCUUCAUCCAAAAACAAAACUCGUAACACAAACUGACGGUUAUUAUUGCAAAUGUUCAUCAUUUGCUCGCAAAAUUGGUUUAUUCGAUCAGUAUCGUCCUCAUAUAAUUCGUGCAUUAGUCUAAUUUUAUAAAGGUGGUAUUAAUUUGCUUUUAAGAUGCGUCUUACUGACGUUCCGGCUAUAUUAUUAUCAACUGAAUUUUGUGUUGUUGCAUUGUUUGGAUUUUCUUCGAUGGAGAGCAGAACGUUUAAUUUUGUUUUUUCAGAAAUUUUUGGACGACUUGAUCUUGGCAAAUCCCUAACAUGACCUGAAGUUAUGAAUUUGUGCUCUAUUCUACUAACUGUUGCCUGAGAAAUAGGAUGGUUUGAGUAUUUGGCAUUAAGCAGUUCACUUAGUUCUUUUUGCGUGCGCACUCGAUCCCCGUACCCUAGCAUCAUCAAAAUUUCUAUUCGUUGAGUUUCCGUUAAAUUAGCCAUAAUUUAUUCUGAUAAAAACUAUUAAUUUUCGAACUGACAGUGACAUUCGAAAAUGGAGAUUCUUUACAAGUGGAACCAUGGAAAUAGAAACAGUUUUUAUAACAUUAUUUUUAUCCUCGAUUUUACCUUAAUUUGUAAAUAGACGUACUUAUUUGUUUUCUUGUUACUUAAAUGUAAAUAUUUUGGAAACAGUUGAGUUUUGAGAUAAGGUGUGUUAUACGAAACUUGCUUGGAAUUUCGCCUAUAUUUCAUAAAUGCAAUAAAAAAUAUAGCAUUCCAUUUAAAAAAAUGACCGAUGACGUCAUCUUUUUUUUGUUCCACCCUGUAUAAAAAAAUUUAUGUGAAAUAAUGCGCAACUUAAAAUAAAAAUCGACGGGGCCAAGCGUUUUCUCAAAAAAUCAUGUCUCUAAUUUUUAUCGAAUUUAGGCGGUAACUGUAUAUUAGUAACUUAUGCCUGUAUAAAUUAAUUAUCAAAAAAUUGACUCGAACAGAAUUAUGAAAAUUAACUAAGCUUAGCGCUUUGCAGCUGACUUACCCGAUUUAUUGCAACGCAUAUUAACAAAUAUUUUCCAAAUCAAAAGAAACAUUAAAAUAAACGAACCAGAGAAGACGCAGGCCUGUCUCCGCCUUCAGAAGACGGAGGCGAGCCGGCCUCGGAACCGGUUUAUCCUGAAAUAACAACAAACAGGGAGCCAGUCCCCUCAACAUCGUCAGCCUCAGAUCCUAUCCAAAACUGAUCGAAAAUUCCACUCCAAAAUUGUUAAAAAAUCCACUUUACAUGCCCUUAAACAACCUUUCCUUAGCGGGCAAGGGGAGGAGCACUGAUCCCAUUACAAAUAUUAACAAAGUCCCAGAAGCAGUGUUAAGGGACACAAAAAACUGGGCCACAAAAUACAAACUAUUUUGUGAAAAAAAAAUCAACAUCGUAAUAGUGCAGAAAGACAGAUUGGGAUUAGCGCUCUUCCCCAAAACUCCAAAAUGACCACCGCGAACUAACAGGACUUCUCAAGGAGGAGGGAAUGGAAUUCCAUUCCUUCUUCCUUGAAGAGGACAGAAAGCUGAACGUGAUACUGAGAGGACUUGACCAAAACUUUAAGCUAGAAGAGGUCGAGGAGGAGCUGAGAGCGAUGGGGUUUGAGCCGGAGGAACUGGGUUGGUUUAAAACUGGCCCAGGCCGACGAAGACCCACAGCCCUCAUCAGAUUCCUCGUCCCUAAAGAGCAAGAGAAUGUGUUUGAGAUUGAUAACAUUUUAAACAUUAGGGUCCGCGUUGAGCGCUUAAGGACUCAGACUAUUGCAAACAGGAAGCAAAUUGGGCAGUGUCAUCGCUGCCAGGAAUAUGGUCACGUCCUGAGUAAUUGCAACGCAAAGCCGCGUUGCCACAAAUGCAAGGGCGAACAUUUAUACUCAGAACGUGUAAAAAACAGAGCAACCCCUCUUCUUCAUGGCAUUGCAACCGGGCGUACCCUCUCAGAGCAACCCCGGCAGAAUGUUGCAAUUGCGGCGGUGACCACCCGGCGAGUUAUUGGCGCUGCCCAAAAAAUCCUAAUAUAACAACCAAAAAAAAAGCUUCGCUGAGACCUUGACAACGACCGACACGGACUCUAAUAACAGAAUGGCGGAGCCAAAGUCAUCUAUACAAAGCAUAUAAAAAGCUCCGAAAGCCACUCUUUAUAUUACAAGAAAUACAGAAAAAUUAAAAAAUGGAUUACCAAUGGUAUAUAUACCAAUGGUAUAUGUAUUGAGGCUAUAAUCAAACAUAGGGACAAACUAAAACGAAAACUAUUAAAAAAUAAUUAUAAUGUAGAACUAGAAAAUGAAUAUAAAAAUUAUAGAAACCAUUUAAAUAAAAUUAUAUCAAUUCAAAAAAGAAAUUAUUAUAGAAAUGAGAUUAAUAAAAAUAAAGAUAAUAUGAAGAAAAUGUAUGAAGUAAUAAGAGAUGCAACGAAUCAAAAACAGACAGAAAAACUUCACAUUAAAAUAAAAAAUGAAAAUGGGGAAAACUUCCAAGAUGAACAUCAAAUGGCUGACUUUUGUAAUCAAUAUUACACAAAUAUUGGUAUUCAGAUGGCAGAAAAAAUCCCACAACCUCACAACCCACAUAGCCUGGAGAACCCUAUUACACAAUCUAUAUAUUUGACACCUAUUACUAAAAAAUUCUAGAGCCACUUAUUCACAUAAUAAAUCAAAUCUAUAAGACUGGACAUAUACCUUCAAGCUUUAAAUUAACAGUUGUCACUCCGAUUCAUAAAUCAGGUCCCAAAAAUGUUGUCAGUAAUUACCGGCCGAUAAGCUUAAUAACUUGCUUCGCAAAAAUAUUUGAAAAAAGUCUGAAAGACAGAUUAUUGAGCUUCUUUGUCACUAAUAACAUUUUGGCUGAAAAUCAAUAUGGGUUUUUACCAGGUUGUAGUACUUCCGAUGCAUUACACAAACUCACUUCAGCAGUCACUAAUCAUCUUAACCAGAGCAGAAAGUGCCUUGGUGUUUUCAUAGAUCUCGCUAAGGCAUUUGAUACUGUUCCACAUAACAAACUGUUUGAAGUUUUGGAACAUUAUGGGGUAAGAGGAACUGCAAUAACUCUAAUGAAGAAUUACUUAAAAAAUAGACGACAAGUUGUUAAAAUAAAUAAUACUUUAAGCAAAGAAGAGGUAAUACAGAUAGAAGUCCCGCAAGGCACAGUGUUAGGCCCGGUUCUGUUUAUAAUUUGCUUAAACUCUCUCCUUAAAACAAAACUUAAUAAUGGAGAAAUUAUUUCAUAGGCAGACGACACAGCAUUACUUUUUAAUGGUAAAGACUGGGAUCAAACAAAGCAGUAUGCCAUAGAAGGCCUUAAUCAAGUAAAAAAUUGGCUGGAAACAUUUAAGCUAAGUCUAAAUGUCACUAAAACCAACUACAUUGCCUUUUCACUAACUGCAGCAAAUAGACCCAAUUUUUCUCAGUUUUCUAUUGAUAGAUAUAAUCAGAUCAAGGAAACAGCUCAUACUAAGUAUCUCGGGAUAUAUGUGGAUCAGAAUCUUAAAUGGCAUGUACAUGCAGAU